UACGAAGGGUGCAAGCGUUACUCGGAAUUACUGGGCGUAAAGCGCGUGUAGGCGGCCCUGCAAGUCGGGUGUGAAAUCCCACGGCUCAACCGUGGAAGUGCACUCGAAACUGCAGGGCUAGAGUCCUGGAGAGGAAGGUGGAAUGCUUGGUGUAGAGGUGAAAUUCGUAGAUAUCAAGCGGAACACCGGUGGCGAAGGCGGCCUUCUGGACAGUGACUGACGCUGAGACGCGAAAGCGUGGGGAGCAAACAGG
rnacentral:rRNA from 1 species